UGGGGAAUAUUGCACAAUGGGGGAAACCCUGAUGCAGCAACGCCGCGUGAGCGAUGAAGGCUUUCGGGUCGUAAAGCUCUGUCCUAAGGGAAGAUAAUGACGGUACCUUAGGAGGAAGCCCCGGCUAACUACGUGCCAGCAGCCGCGGUAAUACGUAGGGGGCAAGCGUUAUCCGGAAUCAUUGGGCGUAAAGGGUGCGUAGGCGGCCCUAUGGGUCAGAGGUUAAAGGCUACGGCUCAACCGUAGUAAGCCUUUGAAACUGUAGGGCUUGAGUGCAGGAGAGGAGAGUGGAAUUCCUAGUGUAGCGGUGAAAUGCGUAGAUAUUAGGAGGAACACCAGUGGCGAAGGCGACUCUCUGGACUGCAACUGACGCUGAGGCACGAAAGCGUGGGUAGCGAAC
rnacentral:rRNA from 1 species